rnacentral:sRNA from 10 species
GAAGGUGUGAAGGAGUGGUUCUACUGAAAGAGUGGAAACGAGGAAACACUUGAUUUGGUAAAACCAUGAA